GAGUGGUAGCUCAAUCGGUUGAGCGCAGCACUUUGACACACACGUCCCGGGUUCAAUUCCCACUACUG
rnacentral:tRNA from 14 species